rnacentral:rRNA from 1 species
UGGGGAAUUUUGCACAAUGGGGGAAACCCUGAUGCAGCGACGCCGCGUGAUUUAGAAGGCCUUCGGGUUGUAAAAAUCUUUUCUAUGGGAAGAAAAUGACAGUACCAUAGGAAUAAGGACCGGCUAAUUACGUGCCAGCAGCCGCGGUAAUACGUAAGGUCCGAGCGUUGUCCGGAAUCAUUGGGCGUAAAGGGUACGUAGGCGGGUAAGCAAGUUAGAAGUGAAAUCCUAUAGCUCAACUAUAGUAAGCUUUUAAAACUGCUCAUCUGGAGGUAUGGAAGAGAAGGUGGAAUUCCUAGUGUAGCGGUGAAAUGCGCGGAUAUUAGGAGGAAUACCGGUGGCGAGGGCGACUUUCUGGCCAUAACCUGACGCUGAGGUACGAAAGCGUGGGUAGCAAACAGG